rnacentral:rRNA from 1 species
AUUGAACGCUGGCGGCAGGCCUAACACAUGCAAGUCGAGCGGAGCGGGGGACGGGCGAGUAAGGCCUAGGAAGCUGCCUGGUAGUGGGGGAUAACGAACGGAAAGGGGCGGUAACACAGCAUACUAUCAGAUGAGCCUAGGUAGGAUUAGCUAGUUGGUGGGGUAAGGGCCUACCAAGGCGACGAUCCCUAGCUGGUCUGAGAGGAUGACCAGCCACACUGGAACUGAGACACGGUCCAGACUCCUACGUGAGGCAGCAGUGGGGAAUAUUGCACAAUGGGCGAAAGCCUGAUGCAGCCAUGCCGCGUGUGUGAAGAAGGCCUUCGGAUUGUAAAGCACUUUCAGUUGGGAGGCGUUACCCACAGAAUAAGCACCGGCUAACUCCGUGCCAGCAGCCGCGGUAAUUC